rfam:Echinostoma caproni strain Egypt genome assembly, scaffold: ECPE_scaffold0001095
GCACUGCUGAAGAGUCUCACACAGGAUGAAACAGCUGUUCAGUGC